rnacentral:lncRNA from 1 species
UUUUCUGGCUAGCGUUUGGCUUAAAUCAAAAUGUUAAAAUGUGUUUAAGUUUGUUUUUCCCUUAUUUAAACUCGAUUGCCUUUAGUUCGCAUAAUUUUGUAUUAGUCUAAAAUAUCCAAGUUGUUGUCUUGCUAAUUUAAUCUCUGAUUGUAGCUUAAUUAGAUUGAUUGACUGUUAAGUUAUAAAAAUUCUCAGUUGUCCUAGUGUUCAAAAAAUGGAGAAUACAAACUUUGUUGUAUUGUUAAUGUUAAGUCUUGUAAUCUGAUUUUCGUGGAAUAAUGUUUUGUCUUAAUUUGUGCUGGUUGUUGUCUCUGGUUUAGCUGUAAAAAUGUUCAUCUCUUCAGCUUUGUGUUUAAUUUAGCUCGAGUAAUAUUCUGUUCCUUUUUUUUGUUUAUAUGAUUAGGUGUUUCUCUAGAGUAGCUCUGUUUGUAAUGUCUCUCCAUUUAAUUUAGUUAGUUGCUCUAAUCUUAGUUUUCUGCUUAAGUGUUAAUGUCGUAAUAUCUUAUGUUUAGAUACGCGUUAGAAAUAUAGCCUUGAUGUUUGCCGAUUAGCUUUUAGGGACAUUUAUUUCAUAACACUAACACUGUGUACACCAUCUCUAUGUUUACUUAGUCUAUCUCUCUUAAAUUUCAGCCCAUUUUUAUUGGUUUGUUGCUUAUUUCCAUUUGUAUGACUUAUUUGAAAAGCCGUCCUACGAUGCUCCUUUGAGCGAAUAUUACAAAAAUGUUUGGUUCGGGUCUUGUGCGAAAACAUGUAGUCUCUUUUGUAGUUGUUAAGUAUUAAAGCUUUAAACAUGCUACGGCCUACGUUGUUUAUUUUCGAACAUUCACGUCUAAGUAUAUGUUUACUAAUUCCUCAAAAUCUGCACCCAGUGAUGCUAUCUAUUUAUGUCUUAUCUCGAAAGGUCCUUUGUGAAGCAUAAAAUUUACUAUGGCAUACUUAAACGACUAGCAUAAUUGUAUAAAUGAGUUGUGUUAGUAGCUAGAAGUUGCCAUCGUUCUUCCAGUUGACUGCCCGCAUAGCUGAGACAUUGGUGUUAAUUUUUUCUUUGCUUGCUGUUAGUUGAGGUUUUCUAUUUUGAGAAUAGCAACAAUCCCCGAAUAAAAUAACAUGAUUCCUCUACUCCUUAAAAAGUUAAGUUGCUGCCUGCUUCCUUUUAUUAGAUUUCUUCCCUUGGUUUCCCUAAGUCAAUUAUGUGAAUUUAAUUUUGAUCAAAAUCCAAUAACAUAAAUCUGAGGCAAAUUUGUUCUUUCUUUUCCAGUAGUGCUAAUCCUUAAUGGUUUUCCUUUUUUAAUCGCUAGAAGAUAAUGAUUUCCCCAUCAGCAUGCCCCUUCCAUUUUAAGUUGCUUGUUGAGCACAUUGGUUGCUUAUUUAUUUCCGUGUGAGACCUGCUCGUGUUACAUUCGUAUAUAAUCCGUCCAAGCAUAAUAUUUAUGUGUAUGUCUUGAAGUUCCUCUAUUCUUAGUCCCUUGACAGCGUAGUGUUAGAAUUCUAUUUCCUAUUCAUGAAUUAAAUUCCUCCAUGCUUAGUCUCUUAAGCAAAAUUAGCUUUAGAACCAAUAUUUCAUCUUCAUGUAUUAAGUUCUCAUCAUACCAAGUUGGGUUUAGCAUUAAUUGGAUUAUGAAUUGUGUCUCCCUCAUUUCCUUUACUGUUGAGUUGCAAUAUAAACACCAUAAAUAUUUGUUUGUUAACAUAAAAACAAAUCCGGAUUUUUAUUCUUUCUAAGAAAAUUAUGGAUGAAUUGGUUUGACAGUGACAUUGAGUUUUAAAAGCUUUAACCACUCUAGUCUUUUUCUAUUUUUUUUUAAUGAAGUCAUAAUUGGUUUUAGGCAUUUGCUCUAUCGUGUAAGUUUAUUAAAAGAAUUUGUCUCACCUUUGCAAAAAAAUAAAUAAAAAUAAAAAAUGAAUAAUGAAUUUCUCUUCCUGUGACGCAAUAGGAUAUAAAAUAG